rnacentral:rRNA from 1 species
UACGAAGGGGGCGAGCGUUGUUCGGAUUUACUGGGCGUAAAGGGCGCGCAGGCGGUUCUGUUUGUCGAGUGUGAAAGCCCCGGGCUCAACCUGGGAACUGCGCUCGAAACGGCGGAACUAGAGUUCGGGAGAGGAGAGUGGAAUUCCCAGUGUAGAGGUGAAAUUCGUAGAUAUUGGGAAGAACACCGGUGGCGAAGGCGGCUCACUGGACCGGCAUUGACGCUGAGGUGCGAAAGCGUGGGGAGCAAACAGG